AGUGAACGCUGGCGGCGUGCUUAACACAUGCAAGUCGAACGAGAACGGGCUAUAGCUUGCUAUAGUUGUCAGCUAGUGGCGCACGGGUGAGUAAUGUAUAGGUAAUAUGCCUCUUACUAAGGGAUAACAAAUGGAAACGUUUGCUAAUACCUUAUACUCCUUAUUAACAGAAGUUAAUAAGGGAAAGAUUUAUUGGUAAGAGAUUGGCCUGUAUUGUAUCAGUUAGUUGAUGGGGUAAUGGCUUACCAAGACUAUGACACAUAACUGGUUUGAGAGGAUGAUCAGUCACACUGGAACUGAGACACGGUCCAGACUCCUACGGGAGGCAGCAGUGGGGAAUAUUGCACAAUGGACGAAAGUCUGAUGCAGCAACGCCGCGUGGAGGAUGACACAUUUCGGUGCGUAAACUCCUUUUAUAUGAGAAGAUAAUGAUGGUAUUAUAUGAAUAAGCACCGGCUAACUCCGUGCCAGCCGCCGCGGUAA
rnacentral:rRNA from 1 species